CUGCUAUAGUUAGUGCACGGUUAGUAGUUGCUGUCUUUCACGUUUCGAUGAGUAUAAAGUGAACUAUUAAACAUUUCAAAAAGUUUGUUAAGUAGCAAAAUGUGGUAAAGCAGAUUAAGUGUGAAACCAACAUUAUAGUGAGAUCCUUGUGAAUGGAAAAUAGCAUGAUCCAGGCUGUUCUUCAAUUGCAAAGAAAGAGAAUUAUGAUUGAAACAAAUGCAAAAUUUCCAACUGGAAUUCUCUUCAUAUUCGUGGUAAUUUUGGAAUUCCAGAGAAUAACACCUUAAAAAGAAAGAACUGUGGCUGUGCUAAUGUAGCAGUAUUGCGUGAGUAUUAGGUUUAUUAUUACCUGUUUUUGUUUGGUAUGAGUUUUUCUUAUUUUAGUAUAAGUCUCGAUUUAGCUAGAGCAGGGAUCCUUUUCAUUUUGCUGUUUAAAAUUUUAAACAUCUCUUGUUUACAAGGCUAGACGAUGGCUUAGAUCGUUUUUCGUCAGUCAGAAAAAAACAGUAGUUUCACUGUUUCAGUUACUUUUACUUUACGCAAUUCUAAAGACAUUUAUCGGUUGUUAACGUUAGAUAAUUUUGUGUGAUAACCGACCGUAAGCCACAAAGCUCACUUGUUAGACAUUGGUAAUUUGCUUGCCUACUUUCGGAUUUUAAAGGAGUUAGUACUUCAUUUAGUACUUAUUAGACGCCCAAAAGAACUAACAGUCGAAUGUGAAAUUCGGCUUUUUCCUGAAUUAAUCCUGAAUUAAUUUCCUGAAUUGUUACUGAACUACAGGAUAUGGCAUAAGACAACAAUUAGUGCAUAUUCUUGAUUUGCUGAUUUGAUUCAAUAUUUUUGAAGUGCUCUCCAUUAUUUUUUGUUGACUUGUUUCUCUACGCCUCAUAAU